rnacentral:rRNA from 1 species
GGGUUGUGAGGUUAAGCGACUAAGCGUACACGGUGGAUGCCCUGGCAGUCAGAGGCGAUGAAGGACGUGCUAAUCUGCGAUAAGCGCCGGUAAGGUGAUAUGAACCGUUAUAACCGGCGAUUUCCGAAUGGGGAAACCCAGUGUGACUCGUCACACUAUCAUUAACUGAAUCCAUAGGUUAAUGAGGCGAACCGGGGGAACUGAAACAUCUAAGUACCCCGAGGAAAAGAAAUCAACCGAGAUUCCCCCAGUAGCGGCGAGCGAACGGGGAGGAGCCCAGAG